UACUGGUAUAUGCCAAUCAGACACAAGCUAAUUGCUUUACAUGUUUUAUUUCAUUUAAUUUCAGCAAUGCUGUAAAGUAGGCAAUUGCUACUGUCUCCAUUUCACAGAUGAGAAAACAGACUCAGGAGUUGACCUUUGGUUGUGAUGGUAUAGAAUCCACUUUCUUCACCUGGUUUCCCGGACACCAGGCUUUUUCAUGAUCUUCCUCACUUCACUGGCCACUCUCAUCUUUUGAUGGGCUUCUCCUCCUCUUCUUCAGUUGUUGAAGUCUCCAGGCCAUAGUCCAUGAUGAUCUUUUUUGUCUAUGCUCACUCCUCAGAGUUGAUUUAUAACAACUAUAUGCUCUUGACUACAAAAUUUCUGUCUCUAGCCCAGACCCCCAGACUAAUAUUCUACUGCCUAUCAUACUGGCAUCUUAAACUCAACACAUCUCACCCCCAAACCCACUACCUACACUCCACUCCCACUCUCACCUACCUCAGAGAAUGGCACCAUUGUCAUCCAGUUCCCCAAGCUCCAAACCUAAAAGGUGUCAUCAGUGUGCCUCUCUUACUCCCACAUGCGGUUUCCAGGUCCUCAGCAAGUCUUGUCAGGGGUACCUUCUAAUCAUCAGAAUUCAUCACUCACUAACUCUACGGUAACCAUUCCAAACCAAACCACCAAUAUCUUGGCCUUGGUUAUAUAGUAGCCUCCUAACUGGUCACCCUGCUUCUGCCCCUUCCCCAGUCUGUUCUCCAAAGAGCAUCUGGAUAGAUCUUUAUCAGCAUAAAUCAGAUCCUGCCAUUUUAUUCAGAACAAAGUUUAAAAAGAUAGAAGCCCUACCUGACCUGAUUGUUUUCUCUCUUCCCUACCUUUAUCAUUCUCUACUGGCUUUAGUCACUGUAGUCUAGUUGCUAUCCCUUGCCCUAUUUCUUCCUACCCCAAGUCCUUUGUACUUGGCUAUUCACUUAGCUGGAAAUACCCUUCCCCCAUAUUUCAUUCAAAUCACUCAAAUGGCACCUUAUGAAAGAGGUCUUCUUAGACCACCCUUAUAGAAUAGUUGCCCACCCAAAUUUACUUAAGCUACUUGAUUUUUUUUUUCAGAGCAGAUACCACUACCCAUCGUUGGACAUUUAUUUAUUGUUGUCUGUCUCGAACAAUAGAAAAUCAGUUCUGUGAGUACAGGAACUUUCUUGUUCACUACUGCAUCCUAGAACUGCAGUUCCUAGAACUGACCCAGCAUAUGCUUGGCACCGAGUAAAUACUUGUUAAAAUACCCGUUAAAUGAAUGUUUAUUAUUUUCUUCAUAAUGUGGGAAAGGGAGAUGGAAAGAACUAUUGCUAAGUUAUUUUAGAUCACAAAAGGCAAGAGUUAUUUGCCAGGGAGUUGGUGAGGAUGAAGCUGACCUAACAGCCUGUUUAUGCCUAGAGGAAAAUGCCUGGCCAAUGAGGGAGGAUGGGUCAGAUUAGCCCCCGUCUGAAAAAUGAGGGAAUGGGAAAAUGAUGAUAUGUCUUCAACGUGUCCAGGUAAUGGCCAGGAGACAGGAUUGAAGGGAGGUUAGGGGUCACAGACCUGUCCCAGGGUGCUUUCUGUGGCCAGGAAGUGAGGAAAAGAAACAAGACUUGCUCUAUCUCCCAGGAACAUGCAGAGUCCACUGAGGCACGAACACCAGCCUCACCAGCCCCUGUCCAGGGGUACCUAGAAUCAGUAAGUACAUUUCUUUCUACAGAAAGGUGCAGAAGGCCAGAAACCUUCAGGACAACAUUGUCCAAUGUGAACUGUGUUAGACAGACCCAAGGCAACCUUCUCCAGCUCUUUCCACUCUCACUUUUUUCAGGUGAAACAAUCCCAUUAGGGGGAGACACUUGGAGGAGGAAAUUGCCACUCUGACUGGCCAAAAGUUGGGUCUGGAUUGGGUAGUUUGCCUGUCCCAUGUUGGCCUGCCCAGACUCACUCAGUCCUCUGCUCCUCUCUGCAGGCUGCCUUCAACUGCUUCAGGCCCAGAAAAGCAGCAAAACCAGACAAGUGAUGCCAUGGUUGACAUUAGGACCAACUGCAUUGACUAAUGACCACCUGCCCUGACAUUGACCAAUCAAUAGAGACCACAACCCUAAAAGGACACCUGUGGAAAGCUGAUGAAUAUUUUAUUGGGAUCCUCCCCUGAGA